rnacentral:rRNA from 1 species
AAAUGAAUAGACGGGGACCCGCACAAGAGGUGGAGUAUGUGGUUUAAUUCGACGCUACGCGAAGAACCUUACCUGGGCUCGAACGACUGGUGGUAGCUUUUAUGAAAGUAGAAGCGAUCCGCAAGGAAGCCAGCCGAGGUGCUGCAUGGUUGUCGUCAGCUCGUGUCGUGAGAUGUUGGGUUAAGUCCCGCAACGAGCGCAACCCCUAUCCUGUGUUGCUCAGCAAUGAGAUCUCUCAGGAGACUGCCGCGGAUAACGUGGAGGAAGGUGGGGAUGACGUCAAAUCAUCAUGGCCUUUAUGUCCAGGGCUACACACGUACUACAAUGGCGUACACAGAGGGCAGCAAAGCCGCGAGGCAGAGCCAAUCCCUAAAUUACGCCCCAGUUCAGAUUGCAGGCUGCAAUUCGCCUGCAUGAAGCCGGAAUCUCUAGUAAUCGCAGAUCAGCACGCUGCGGUGAAUACGUUCCCGGGUCUUGUACACACCGCCCGU